GACGUCCAAUUCCUUAAGUAUGAAAGAGCUUCAGAUUUGGAGCAGUAAAUUAACUCUGAAGCACAUAAGAUCUAGAAAGAAUCAUUUGAUCAAUUUGGAUGAAAAGAAGUUUGGUAUCAACCCCUAACAAAAAUCGAAAGAGAGAAUGACGAAGUUAAGGAAGCUAAACCGAAUUGCGGCUCAUCACAGAUCUAUACUGAGGACGAUGGUGUUGCAGUUCGUGAAGCAUGAGUGCAUUGAAACCGCUGUUGCCAAGGCAAAAGAGGUUCGACAUCAGGCUGAUAGAGUGGUGCAGCGUGGAAAAGAUGGUUCACUCGCUGCAGCGAGGAGUUAUGUAGAAAAUAGGAAGAAACUCUUGGUUUCAUUUAAAUAUGUAUCUACAUUUUUGUUUGUGCUAUUGUUUAAUGUUUGAUUUUCUUCUUCCAUACCAUAAUUUUACAUCAAUGAUAGUCCUCAAGCAUGUUUGAAUGGAAAAUAAUGAGUCCAUGACUUUUUUUUUUC